GCUUAACACAUGCAAGUCGAGGGGCAGCAUGGUCUUAGCUUGCUAAGGCCGAUGGCGACCGGCGCACGGGUGAGUAACACGUAUCCAACCUGCCGUCUACUCUUGGACAGCCUUCUGAAAGGAAGAUUAAUACAAGAUGGCAUCAUGAGUCCGCAUGUUCACAUGAUUAAAGGUAUUCCGGUAGACGAUGGGGAUGCGUUCCAUUAGAUAGUAGGCGGGGUAACGGCCCACCUAGUCUUCGAUGGAUAGGGGUUCUGAGAGGAAGGUCCCCCACAUUGGAACUGAGACACGGUCCAAACUCCUACGGGAGGCAGCAGUGAGGAAUAUUGGUCAAUGGGCGAGAGCCUGAACCAGCCAAGUAGCGUGAAGGAUGACUGCCCUAUGGGUUGUAAACUUCUUUUAUAAAGGAAUAAAGUCGGGUAUGGAUACCCGUUUGCAUGUACUUUAUGAAUAAGGAUCGGCUAACUCCGUGCCAGCAGCCGCGGUAAUACGGAGGAUCCGAGCGUUAUCCGGAUUUAUUGGGUUUAAAGGGAGCGUAGAUGGAUGUUUAAGUCAGUUGUGAAAGUUUGCGGCUCAACCGUAAAAUUGCAGUUGAUACUGGAUAUCUUGAGUGCAGUUGAGGCAGGCGGAAUUCGUGGUGUAGCGGUGAAAUGCUUAGAUAUCACGAAGAACUCCGAUUGCGAAGGCAGCCUGCUAAGCUGCAACUGACAUUGAGGCUCGAAAGUGUGGGUAUCAAACAGGAUUGGAUACCCUGGUAGUCCACACGGUAAACGAUGAAUACUCGCUGUUUGCGAUAUACAGCAAGCGGCCAAGCGAAAGCGUUAAGUAUUCCACCUGGGGAGUACGCCGGCAACGGUGAAACUCAAAGGAAUUGACGGGGGCCCGCACAAGCGGAGGAACAUGUGGUUUAAUUCGAUGAUACGCGAGGAACCUUACCCGGGCUUAAAUUGCAGAUGAAUUACGGUGAAAGCCGUAAGCCGCAAGGCAUCUGUGAAGGUGCUGCAUGGUUGUCGUCAGCUCGUGCCGUGAGGUGUCGGCUUAAGUGCCAUAACGAGCGCAACCCUUGUUGUCAGUUACUAACAGGUUCCGCUGAGGACUCUGACAAGACUGCCAUCGUAAGAUGUGAGGAAGGUGGGGAUGACGUCAAAUCAGCACGGCCCUUACGUCCGGGGCUACACACGUGUUACAAUGGGGGGUACAGAGGGCCGCUACCACGCGAGUGGAUGCCAAUCCCCAAAACCUCUCUCAGUUCGGACUGGAGUCUGCAACCCGACUCCACGAAGCUGGAUUCGCUAGUAAUCGCGCAUCAGCCACGGCGCGGUGAAUACGUUCCCGGGCCUUGUACACACCGCCCGUCAAGCCAUGGGAGCCGGGGGUACCUGAAGUGCGUAACCGCGAGGAGCGCCCUAGGGUAAAACUGGUGACUGGGGCUAAGUA
rnacentral:rRNA from 1 species